ACACCUCAACUCUCAUGGUUCGCCGUGAUGAGCUUGGACUUUGGGGGUCUUGCCGGCCCAUGGUCGGCUCCUCUCAAAUGGAUCAGCUUGCCAGUGUUUGGUGGCAUCACGGGUGUGAUAACUAUCUACGCUUGUGGUUUCCCACCAGGUAACCUUCAGCAAUGGAGGUUCGCUGGGGCUCAUAGAUGUCCCUCCGCAGCGAGGACAACUUUUGAAC
rnacentral:misc_RNA from 1 species